AUUGAACGCUGGCGGCAGGCUUAACACAUGCAAGUCGAGCGAGCGGCGGACGGGUGAGUAAUGUCUGGGAAACUGCCUGAUGGAGGGGGAUAACUACUGGAAACGGUAGCUAAUACCGCAUACCAUCAGAUGUGCCCAGAUGGGAUUAGCUAGUAGGUGGGGUAAUGGCUCACCUAGGCGACGAUCCCUAGCUGGUCUGAGAGGAUGACCAGCCCCACGGGAACUGAGACACGGUCCAGAUUCCUACGGGUGUCAGCAGUGGGGAAUAUUGCACAAUGGGCGCAAGCCGGAUGCAGCAAUGCCGCGGGUAUGAGAAGGGCCUUCGGGUUGUAAAGUACUUUCAGCGAGGAGGCGUUACUCGCAGAAGAAGCACCGGCUAACUCCGUGCCAGCAGCCGCGGUAAUUC
rnacentral:rRNA from 1 species